GGUUCCUCUUGUGUUCUAACCCCUAGAGAUUAGCUUCAGGAUUGGUUCUAUACAGAGCAUGUAGAUGUAUAUGUCUGUGUGUAAUUUAAUCCAGCCAUCACUGAGUCUCUGAAAGCUGUUUCUUUUAGUUGUCACCUUUUCUCUUUUUCUUGAUGCUUCUUUCUCAGCCCUUGUAUAGGAUUCAGAUUUGGUGACCUGGUGGCUGCUAUAACUGAUUAGUGUAUUUUUUGCCUCUCUUCUUGCCUUUUAGUUUUCCCUACUAAUUUGCUUGUUUUAUAGCAAGUAUAUUCUUUUCAGAGUUUAAGUUUUCAAAUUAAUAAAUGCUGAAAACAAAACCGGUUUAUUAGGUAUUUUAGAAUUCCCCCCCUCCAAAUGUAAUUCUAAUGCAAUAUCAGAGGCAUGAAUUGAUAUUUUAGAUUUUUAGAGAUAAAUUGAAUUUUUAAAGUUUUUGGUUGUUUAAUCUAAAUAUUAGAAAUGUAAAAUAUGCUAUUACUCUUAAAUUUAAAGGUUUCCUUCUUUUGAAAAAGGUAAAUUUGGUAUGUAUUUUAUGGGUGACACUUGGGGCAAUAUGGAUCCAGAGUUAUAAAAUGACAAGCUAUCGUCUAGGAAUUUAUCUUAAAGAAACAGUCAUAUGUACCAGAUUGCUCAUUGCCCUGUUUUUUGCAACAGCAAAACAUGGAAAGUAACCUAAACCCCUAUUAAUAAAGGAUUGAUUAAGUCAUUAGGGCCUAUCCAUAUAGUGAAAUACUGUGCAAUCUUUAAACAGGAUGAAUGAGAUGAGAAUAUGCUUAAUGUAUUUUUUUUUUUUUUUUUGCUUUUCAGGGACACACCUUUGGCAUAUGGAAGUUCCCAGGCUAGGGUGUUGAAUCAGAGCUGCAGCUGCCAGCCUACGCCACUAGCCACAGCAAUGCAGGAUCUGAGCCUCAUAUUCGACCUACAGCACAGCUCACAGCAAUGCCAGAUCCUUAACCCACUGAGCAAGGCCAGGAAUCAAACCUGCAUCCUCAUGUAUGCUAGUCGGGUUCAUAACCCACUGAGCCACAAUGGGAGCUCCCUAAUUUUCUUUAAUAUGGACAAAAGCUCUGUAUAUAGAAAUCUUAAAAGAAAGUAUGUAUGCCAAAUACUAAUAAGAGCUUAUUAUCUCUAGGUAAUAAUAUUGUGGGUGAUCUUUUUUCUCAAUUUUUUUUACCUAGGAUGUACUGCUUUUAUAAUCUCGGAAGAAUGAUGAAAUUAUUAAAGAAUAGACAUACUAAUUGAAAACCUCUCCUGUUUGUGCUAAAUAAAGCUUCAUUCCCUGAGGUGACCAGUUCCUCUCAAUGGACUGUGUUGUAUUGAAUGAGAAGUGAAAUAUACUUUCUCAUAUGCCUUUAAAAAUCUUUUCUUAUUUAAUUAAUUAAUUAAUUAAUUGUCUCUUCUGGGGGCCACACCUGCAGCAUAUUGGAGGUUCCCAGGCUAGAGGUCUAAUUGGAGCUAUAGCCUCCAGCCCUCACCACAGCAACACCAGAUCUGAGUCGAGUCUGCAACCUACACCACACUCAUGGCAACGCUGGAUCCCUAACCCACUGAGCAAGGCCAGGGAUCGAACCCACAACCUCCUGGUUCCUAGUCGGAUUUGUUAACCACUGAGUCACAAGGGGAAAUCCUAAAAAUAUUUUCUAUAUUACUAAUAAGCAAGAAUAUUUUCUAGACUCUUAUAACAGGAAAGAAAAAAAUUAUAUAGAGGACCAAACAAAUAUCAGUUUUUAGAACAAACUCACUGAAAAAACACUCAGGCACAUAGACGUUUACAUUGCUAAAGAGAAUAGGUUGUGCCUCAUUUCUUACUAUGAAGGAUUUUUUCCCCCUGUUAAAAUUCUCAUUAAAAUAUGAGGAAUUCAUAUGUAUGGUAUGAGUAAAGGCUAGUGUUUAAAAGCAUGAGCUCCAAGACUUUCUGUGUUACUUUUGAGGAGUUAGACCUCAGUCUCUUCAUCUGUAAAAUGUGGGUAGUACUUUGCUAAGCUGUUGGGAGGAUUAAAUUAGAUAAGUGCUUACUUAGCAUGGUGCCAUAUACUUAGCAGUAACCAAGGAGAAAGAAAUGGUGGGAGGGGUAUGAGCAUAAUAAUAACAGUAAUGAUGGUGAUAAUAUUGGUGCUGAUAGUAAUACUAGUUAUUAUUUGCUCCCUUCUCAAUAGAGGUUUGCAUGAGGGCAGAGGCUUGUUUGCCACAGUUAUCAGCCAGUCCAGUUACCUUGACCAAGACAGAUAUGUGGUCUCCUUUUAGCCCAUUGUGCUCUCUUACCCUGGUAUCUAUAGGUACACUAUCCAAAAACAAGGGGGAAAGAAAGUGCUUAGGGUCUCACAGGCAUAGUUGGUGCUCUGUAAAUGUUGUUGAAUGAAUGGUGACCUAAAGCAAGCAUUUUCUAUAGACAGUGUGUGGUGAACUUUUAAAAGAGGCGUUUGAUCAUCUUUAAAGUAUAUGGAAGGGGAGUUCCCUGGUGGCUCAGCAAGUUAUGGAUCUAGCAUUUUCAUUGCUGUGGCACAAGUUCCAUCCCUGGCUUGGGAAUUUCCG
rnacentral:lncRNA from 1 species